CUACGGAUGCUCCAGUCGCGAAAACUUUACAAUGCACGAAAGUGUGAUAAGGGAAUCCUAAGUGCUUACCUUAUGGGUAGGCUUUUGUUAAGUGUAAGUAACUUAGCGAAUAAGUGGUGGGCAAGACCGGUGCCAGCAGCCGCGGUAAUACCGGCGCCACAAGUGGAGAUCACAAUUAUUGAGUCUAAAGCGUCCGUAGCUGAUUUAUUAACUCCUUUGUGAAAUUGUUAAGCUUAACUUGACAUCGUGCAGAGGAAACUAAUAAAUUAGGGACUGGGAAGAGAUAAGGGUAUUUUUAGGGGAGCGGUAAAAUGUUUUAAUCCUAAGAAGACCACCUAUGGCGAAGGCAUUUAUCUAGAACAGGUCUGACAGUGAGGGACGAAGGCUGGGGGAGCGAAACGGAUUAGAUACCCUUGUAGUC
rnacentral:rRNA from 1 species